UACAGAGGUCUCAAGCGUUGUUCGGAAUCAUUGGGCGUAAAGGGUGCGUAGGCGGCUGGGUAAGUCUGAUGUGAAAUCCCGGGGCUCAACCCCGGAACUGCAUUGGAUACUGCCCUGCUUGAGUACUGGAGAGGAGACUGGAAUUUACGGUGUAGCAGUGAAAUGCGUAGAGAUCGUAAGGAAGACCAGUGGCGAAGGCGAGUCCCUGGACAGUUACUGACGCUGAGGCACGAAGGCCAGGGGAGCAAACGGG
rnacentral:rRNA from 1 species